ensembl:lncRNA
AGAGAGAGAGAGAGAGAGAGAGAGAGAGAUGCUACAGGAGCAGGUGUCUAAUUGAGCCUGUGAAAUAAUUCAUUGGCGGCUGUCGCAUGAAAAAGGAGAAGGCUAUUGGUAUACCUGGCAUCUCCCUCCUCCUCCUCCUCCUCCUCUUCCUCCUCUUCAGAGAGCCAGCGCUGUGGACAUCCAUGGGCUUAAGGUCCCCUAAGAACUCCUGUCACUCUCGGCAGUCGGCACCUUGGUGAACACCGAGCGAUGAAUAAUGCAACCGGCGUGGCUCGAAUGCUUCAGCGGCACCCCGGCGACGCAAACCAAAAUAGAAGCACCCUGUUUCCAAAUGUUGUCUCCUCUUUACAUAUAGGAACACCCUCGUGUUCCCGGGAUAAAGAGAGCGCUACCUUGAGAGCGCUGCGUUGUUGGCUCCUCUGAGAAUACAGCUGGAGGAGGAGGAGGAGAGGACGCUAAAGUAUGAUUCAACACGACGCAAGGAGCCGGGCAGGGAAGGCCUCUGUUCUGCUCGGCAGAUGAAUAUUCAUCCUUUUCACCCCCAAAAAGCGGGCGAUGAUUAAUUGAACCUCCAGUGUGAUUACAAUAUGAAUGAUUUCCUUUCAAAUCGCCAAACUCUAAGGGAAGACUCAGUCCAAAUUGGGUCUUUUCUUACCCAAGACACAAUCUGGAAUGGGUAGGUUCAUGUUUAAUGCAUGAGGCACUUAUGAGAUCAUCUUAUUGAGAUGUUUCAUCUCCGUCUUCUUCUUCUUAGUAUUAUUAUUUUGCUGGCAGGUAUUUCUUGUGUGCUUCUUCUAUCUCCAGCCUCUGACCGACCUUGGAGAGCAGCUGGAGGCUAAUGACUGCUUCAGACGGAGAAAGGACUCGACGAGAUGCAACGCCAACCAACCGAAUGACCAACCAACCAAACUACUAACCUACCACCAACUAACCAAAUAACCAACCAACCAACCUACUAACCUACCAACCAUCCAACCAGCAAACCAACCGAAUGACCAACCAACCAAACCACUAAUCUACCACCAACUAACCAAAUAACCAACCAACCAACCUACUAACUUACCAACCAUCCAACCAGCCAACCAACCGAUCCAGCCGACAGACGGGCCAUCCUGACCCACAUUCAGGCCUGAUCUGUCGGACAGAGAUUCAUGUGGUUCGCGGCGGUGAUUUACCGGAUGAUGAUCGCAGGCCUCUGAUCAAAUCAUCAGAUGUUUAAAUCCCGAGCCGUUCCCCAUCGAUUUGCCAUCAGAGCCACUCGCCGAUGUUUUGUUUACCGCCAUUUCCUGAAUCAGCCGAGCCCCGGGGAGAGGGG